rnacentral:rRNA from 1 species
GACGAACGCUGGCGGCGUGCCUAAUACAUGCAAGUAGAACGCUGAAGGAGGAGCUUGCUUCUCUGGAUGAGUUGCGAACGGGUGAGUAACGCGUAGGUAACCUGCCUGGUAGCGGGGGAUAACUAUUGGAAACGAUAGCUAAUACCGCAUAAAAUUGAUUAUCGCAUGAUAAUCCAUUGAAAGGUGCAAAUGCAUCACUACCAGAUGGACCUGCGUUGUAUUAGCUAGUUGGUGGGGUAACGGCUCACCAAGGCGACGAUACAUAGCCGACCUGAGAGGGUGAUCGGCCACACUGGGACUGAGACAUGGCCCAGACUCCUACGGGAGGCAGCAGUAGGGAAUCUUCGGCAAUGGACGGAAGUCUGACCGAGCAACGCCGCGUGAGUGAAGAAGGUUUUCGGAUCGUAAAGCUCUGUUGUAAGAGAAGAACGAGUGUGAGAGUGGAAAGUUC